UAGGGAAUUUUCCACAAUGGGGGCAACCCUGAUGGAGCAACGCCGCGUGCAGGAUGAAGGCCUUCGGGUUGUAAACUGCUUUUCUCUGUGACGAUUAUGACGGUAGCAGAGGAAUAAGGGUCUGCUAACUACGUGCCAGCAGCCGCGGUCAUACGUAGGACCCAAGCGUUAUCCGGAAUUACUGGGCGUAAAGAGUUGCGUAGGUGGCAGAGUAAGUAGAUAGUGAAAUCGUGUGGCUCAACCAUACAGACAUUAUCUAAACUGCUCAGCUUGAGGACGAGAGAGGUACUUGGAAUUCCCAGUGUAGGAGUGAAAUCCGUAGAUAUUGGGAGGAACACCGAUGGCGUAGGCAGAGUACUGGCUUGUUCCUGACACUAAGGCACGAAAGCGUGGGGAGCGAACGGGAUUAGAUACCCCCGUAGUCCCUGAGCGGGCUGGCAAGGCGCAU
rnacentral:rRNA from 1 species